UACGGGGGGGGCAAGCGUUGUUCGGAAUUAUUGGGCGUAAAGCGCGCGCAGGCGGCCUUUUAAGUCUGAUGUGAAAGCCCACGGCUCGACCGUGGAAGGUCAUUGGAAACUGAAAGGCUUGAGUACAGAAGAGGAAAGCGGAAUUCCACGUGUAGCGGUGAAAUGCGUAGAGAUGUGGAGGAACACCAGUGGCGAAGGCGGCUUUCUGGUCUGUAACUGACGCUGAGACACGAAAGCGUGGGUAGCAAACAGG
rnacentral:rRNA from 1 species